UGUCUUUUUGAAAAUAAUAUAAGGUUUGAUCUGCCCACUGAUUUUAAAUUGAAGGGCUGCAGUAUAUUGACUGUACAAAGGUAGCAUAAUCAUUAGUCAUUUAAUUGGUGACUUGUAUGAAGGAUUGGAUGAGAUAUAAUCUGUCUCUUAUUUAAUAGUAAAAUUUAAUUUUUAAAUUAAAAAGUUUAAAUAGUUUAAAAAGACGAGAAGACCCUAUAGAGUUUUAUAAAUAAAUUAAUUAAGGUUAUUAGGAUAGUUUUAAAUUAAAAUUAAUUUAUUUAUUUUGUUGGGGUGAUAGAAAAAUAUAUUUAACUUUUUUUAAAAAUAAGACAUUUAUAAGUGGUUAAAUGAUCCAUUAUUAUUGAUUAUAAGAAAAAAUUACCUUAGGGAUAACAGCGUAAUUUUUUUUUUUAGUUCGUAUAAUAAAAAGAGUUUGCGACCUCGAUGUUGGAUUAAGAUAAAAUUUAAAUGCAGAAG
rnacentral:rRNA from 1 species